ACGUAAAGCAGAACUAACUUGAUAACUGAUAUUUUUAUUGACUGUUGACAAUUUCAAGAUGUUUUUUUUUUGGUUAUAUAACUUUUUUGUUAUCUUUAGGCCAAUUUGCACAGACUACAACUGGCGUAUAAAAAUAUAUGAAAGAAACAUAAGAUGAGAAAAAUACAGCUAGCUGUUGAUGUUGUAUCAGGUUGGUCGGUUAAAUAUGAUCAUUUAAAUGAGAAAAUGUAUACUCGUGCAACUGAAUACAUGUAAACUCGAGAAAAUGAAUACUCAUGCAAAUGUAUACUCGUGCAAUCUGGUGUUAUAACAUCAUAACCACAUCGACGGCCAACUCUAAAAUCACCUUAUUUUGUUUGGCAGUGUUCUGGAAUUAAGUUAUGGCAAUAUUUUAUGUAUGAAAUGUAACAAUUACAUUAAAAAAGUGCUUAUUUCUGACAAAAACUUGUAUUUUCUUAAGGCUUAGAUGGUGUUUCAUUACCCCCUCUGGCUCCCGAGAUACACC